rnacentral:rRNA from 1 species
GGCUACCACAUCUAAGGAAGGCAGCAGGCGCGUAACUUACCCACUCCCAGUUCAGGGAGGUAGUGACAAUAAAUACCUUACAGAGGUCUCGUUAACCGAGAUCUCUCAAACGGAAUGAGUACAACGUGAAUCCUUUAACGAGGAUCGACUGGAGGGCAAGCCUGGUGCCAGCAGCCGCGGUAAUUCCAGCUCCAGUAGCGUAUAUUAAAGCUGUUGCGGUUAAAAAGCUCGUAGUUGGAUAUCAGUGCGUGUCCGGUCCGGUAUGCCUGGCGGCGGCGCCUCGCGCGUCACUGCUGGGCUCCCAAAUAUCGGCUGGCCGCAUUCAAUCGUGCCGGAUCCGUCGACGGGCCGUUCUUCGGAGGGGCCUGUUGGCGACCGGCGACGUUACCUUGAACAAAUUAGAGUGCUCAAAGCAGGCUCUGAAUGCCUGUAUACAUAUUCAUGGAAUUGGAGAAUACGUCCCUGGCUCGAUUUGGUUGGUUUUGAGAGUCGAAGGGAAAUGAUUAAUAGGGACUGACGGAGGCAUUCGUAUUGCGACGCGAGGGGUGAAAUCCUGUGACCGUCGCACGACGAACUACUGCGAAAGCAUUUGCCGAGAAUGUUUUCAUUAGUCAAGAACGAAAGUUAGAGGUUCGAAGGCGAUCAGAUACCGCCCUAGUUCUAACCGUAAACGAUGUCGACCAGCAAUCCGCAACGGUCACUACAAGGACUGUGCGGGCAGCUUCCCCGGGGAAACCAGAGUUUUUGGACUCCGGGGGAAGUAUGGUUGCAAAGCUGAAACUUAAAGGAAUUGACGGAAGGGCACCACCAGGAGUGGAGCUUGCGGCUUAAUUUGACUCAACACGGGACAACUCACCAGGCCCGGACACCGUAAGGAUUGACAGACUGAUAGCUCUCUCUUGAUUCAGUGGGUGGUGGUGCAUGGCCGUUCUUAGUUGGUGGAGUGAUUUGUCUGGUUUAUUCCGAUAACGAACGAGACUCUGGCCUAUUAAACUUGACGCUGUCAGUCUCUUGUGACUGCGGCGCGCUUCUUAGAGGGAUCAUCGGCGUCCCAGCCGAAGGAAAGGGAGCAAUAACAGGUCUGUGAUGCCCUUAGAUGUUCUGGGCUGCACGCGUGUUACACUGAAGUGGUCAGCGCGCCGUUCAACGUCCCUCUCCGCGAGGAGCGGGCAAACGUUUGAACCCUUUUCGUGAUGGGAAUUGGGGGUUGCAAUUGUCCCCCAUGAACGAGGAAUUCCAAGUAAGCGCAAGUCAUUAGCUUGCGUUGAUUAAGUCCCUGCCCUUUGUACACACCGCCCGUCGCUACUACCGAUGGAUGAUUUGGUGAGGUCGCCUAGACUGGCUGCUGGCUUCGGCCGUGCGGCCGGGAAGACGCCCAAACUUGGUCGUCUAGAGGAAGUAAAAGUCGUAACAAGGUUUCC